rnacentral:lncRNA from 1 species
CUCUCUCUCGGGCAGCGUUGGAUAAAAGGCAGCAGGCUUGCUAUACAACACUCCGGUUAUACCUACUUGGGGCUGGGAGCUAGUGUUCCGAACCUUUCCACCAAGACCGUGAACAUCGCAAGGAAUUCUCACUCACCAUGCAGUACAGCUCUGUGUUUUUAGCAGCUCUCUUCACCGUAAUCCUCCUAGCCGCCGGUGCCACGUCGCGCCGUCCAAGCCGAUGUGACGUUGUGCGCUGCCGAGGCUGUCCCAGUGGGUCCACGUUAAGCCCCUUGCCGAGUGACUGCUGCAGAUGCGUUACCGACUGCAGCGCCGUGUUCUGCGCCCCCUGUCCUAGGGGAACCACCCCGCGCCAGACUCCAGGAAACUGCUGCCAGUGCGUGAGAGGAUAAGACAACGACGGCUCCAGUCGCACAAGACCAGGACGAAGAAAUGUUUAGCGGCUCGAGCCUUACGGCGCAGAGCUUUUGUUUCUUGAGUAUGCGCGAAUAAAUUCACUUGUGUAAGCUUUA